UACGUAGGGUGCGAGCGUUGUCCGGAUUUAUUGGGCGUAAAGAGCUCGUAGGCGGCUUGUCGCGUCGGAUGUGAAAGCCCGGGGCUUAACUCCGGGUCUGCAUUCGAUACGGGCAGGCUAGAGGUGUGGUAGGGGAGAUCGGAAUUCCUGGUGUAGCGGUGAAAUGCGCAGAUAUCAGGAGGAACACCGGUGGCGAAGGCGGAUCUCUGGGCCGAUACUGACGCUGAGGAGCGAAAGCGUGGGGAGCGAACAGG
rnacentral:rRNA from 1 species